UACAGAGGUCUCGAGCGUUGUUCGGAUUCAUUGGGCGUAAAGGGUGCGUAGGUGGCGCUGUAAGUCAGGUGUGAAAUUUCGGAGCUUAACUCCGAAACUGCAUUUGAUACUGCGGUGCUUGAGGACUGGAGAGGAGACUGGAAUUUACGGUGUAGCAGUGAAAUGCGUAGAGAUCGUAAGGAAGACCAGUGGCGAAGGCGGCUCGUGGACAGUUCUGACACUGAGGC
rnacentral:rRNA from 1 species